AGAAAUAGGCUAGGAUUUAAAGCUUAUAAUUUCUAUUGUUAAAUCAGUUUUAAGAAAGAAAUAGAUCGUAAUUCAAAUUAAAGGUCUUCUUCGAUCCUUCUCCCUGCUUUCUUGUUACUUUUUUUUUUUUUUUUUUUCUUCAGGAAAGUAAUAAAACUCAUAUUAUUACUCAGACAUAAAGCCUUAAAGGGAACACCAGCUAUUACAGAAACUCCAGCUGUAUUUAGCAUUUCCACCUGAAACCAGGGAGUCUUUCUAUUACUGACUGCUUACACACCCAAGUAUAAAUAAACCUUGCCUUGGAGCACUUAUAAGCUUAAUGGACAAGAGGUGGAUGAAAGGAAGCUAUGGCUGAGGUGGGGAGCCAAGGCGCAACAAGGUUAAGUGAGUUUCUGGAGGUCACCCGGGAAGUUUAACAUCCAGCAGGGAAGGGACCCAAACUCCUCUGAGUCAUCAUCCCCUGACAAGCCCAUCCUUCUUCUUUUCCUACUAAAUGGAACAAUCCUGUAUUGGUUGUGGUAUAAUGGUCUACAUGACCGGGUUCAAAUUAGCUGCUGACACUUAUUGACAAGAAGAAACACAUCCUUCCACUGGGAUAAAACAUAUUUUUAUUGAAGAAAGAAGAGACACAGGAUUGGGUUCCUAUUGUCUUCUCCAUGAGCAAGAAGAAAGGAAGACAUUUGGCCCCUUAAAUGACAGCAUGCCAAGCCUUAAUCCCAAAGAGAAGGUGCCCCAUGGAGAGCACAAGGUGAAGGGAUCUCAGCCAAAGAAUGAAGUCCUGAGCUUUGAUUUCAGUGGCUUCCAUGGUCUGCUCCCCAGAAUUUGCAAAUCCUGACAACCCCCAGCCUGCACCCAG
rnacentral:lncRNA from 1 species